GGUGGUAUAGUAUAGUGGAUAGUACAACACGUUGUGGUCUCACUACUUAUACCGUGUAGACCUGGGUUCGAUUCCCAGUACCGCCA